UCCUUGGUAGUCCAGUGGUUAGGAUUCUUCACUUCUACUGGGGGGUGAACAGGUUCGAUCCCUGGAUAGGGAA
rnacentral:tRNA from 1 species